rnacentral:rRNA from 1 species
GAAUUUUCCGCAAUGGGCGAAAGCCUGACGGAGCAAUACCGCGUGAGGGAUGACGGCCUAUGGGUUGUAAACCUCUUUUUUCAGGGAGGAAUCAAAUGACGUGUACCUGAAGAUUAAGCAUCGGCUAACUCCGUGCCAGCAGCCGCGGUAAGACGGAGGAUGCAAGUGUUAUCCGGAAUCACUGGGCGUAAAGCGUCUGUAGGUGGUCCAAUAAGUCAACUGUUAAAUCUUGAGGCUCAACCUCAAAAUCGCAGUCGAAACUAUUAGACUAGAGUAUAGUAGGGGUAAAGGGAAUUUCCAGUGGAGCGGUGAAAUGCGUAGAGAUUGGAAAGAACACCGAUGGCGAAGGCACUUUACUGGGCUAUUACUGACACUCAGAGACGAAAGCUAGGGUAGCAAAUG